AGUGGCGGACGGGUGAGUAACGCGUGAGAAUCUACCUUCAGGUCGGGGAUAACCCCUGGAAACGGGGGCUAAUACCGGAUAGGUCGAAAGAUGAAAGGUUAACUGCCUGAAGAGGGGCUCGCGUCUGAUUAGCUAGUAGGUGUGGUAAGAGCGCACCUAGGCGACGAUCAGUAGCUGGUCUGAGAGGAUGAGCAGCCACACUGGGACUGAGACACGGCCCAGACUCCUACGGGAGGCAGCAGUGGGGAAUUUUCCGCAAUGGGCGAAAGCCUGACGGAGCAAGACCGCGUGGGGGAGGAAGGCCUUUGGGUUGUAAACCCCUUUUGUUAGGGAAGAAAAAAAUGACGGUACCUAACGAAUCAGCCUCGGCUAACUCCGUGCCAGCAGCCGCGGUAAUACGGAGGAGGCAAGCGUUAUCCGGAAUUAUUGGGCGUAAAGCGUCCGUAGGUGGCCCGGCAAGUCUGCUGUCAAAGACCACAGCUCAACUGUGGAAAGGCAGUGGAAACUGCAAGGCUAGAGUGCGGUAGGGGUAGAGGGAAUUCCCAGUGUAGCGGUGAAAUGCGUAGAGAUUGGGAAGAACACCGGUGGCGAAAGCGCUCUACUGGGCCGCAACU
rnacentral:rRNA from 1 species